rnacentral:rRNA from 1 species
CAUGCAGUCGAGCGGCAGCGACAACAUUGAACCUUCGGGGGAUUUGUUGGGCGGCGAGCGGCGGACGGGUGAGUAAUGCCUGGGAAAUUGCCCUGAUGUGGGGGAUAACCAUUGGAAACGAUGGCUAAUACCGCAUGAUAGCUUCGGCUCAAAGAGGGGGACCUUCGGGCCUCUCGCGUCAGGAUAUGCCCAGGUGGGAUUAGCUAGUUGGUGAGGUAAGGGCUCACCAAGGCGACGAUCCCUAGCUGGUCUGAGAGGAUGAUCAGCCACACUGGAACUGAGACACGGUCCAGACUCCUACGGGAGGCAGCAGUGGGGAAUAUUGCACAAUGGGCGCAAGCCUGAUGCAGCCAUGCCGCGUGUAUGAAGAAGGCCUUCGGGUUGUAAAGUACUUUCAGCAGUGAGGAAGGGGGUAUCGUUAAUAGCGGUAUCCUUUGACGUUAGCUGCAGAAGAAGCACCGGCUAACUCCGUGCCAGCAGCCGCGGUAAUACGGAGGGUGCGAGCGUUAAUCGGAAUUACUGGGCGUAAAGCGCAUGCAGGUGGUUUGUUAAGUCAGAUGUGAAAGCCCGGGGCUCAACCUCGGAAUUGCAUUUGAAACUGGCAGGCCAGAGUACUGUAGAGGGGGGUAGAAUUUCAUGUGUAGCGGUGA